UACGGAAGGCAGCAGUGGGGAAUAUUGCACAAUGGGCGCAAGCCUGAGUGCAGCCAUGCCGCGUGUAUGAAAAAGGCCUUCGGGUUGUAAAGUACUUUCAGUCGUGAGGAAGGUGUUAAGGUUAAUAACCUUAGCAAUUGACGUUAGCGACAGAAGAAGCACCGGCUAACUCCGUGCCAGCAGCCGCGGUAAUACGGAGGGUGCGAGCGUUAAUCGGAAUUACUGGGCGUAAAGGGCACGCAGGCGGUUAAUUAAGUUGGAUGUGAAAUCCCCGGGCUUAACCUGGGAAUGGCAUUCAAGACUGGUUAGCUAGAGUCUUGUAGAGGGGGUAGAAUUCCAUGUGUAGCGGUGAAAUGCGUAGAGAUGUGGAGGAAUACCGGUGGCGAAGGCGGCCCCUGGACAAAGACUGACGCUCAUGUGCGAAAGCGUGGGGAGCAAACAGGGAUUAGAUACC
rnacentral:rRNA from 1 species